rnacentral:rRNA from 1 species
UUCCAGACUCCUACGGGAGGCAGCAGUCGAGAAUCAUUCACAAUGGGGGAAACCCUGAUGGUGCGACGCCGCGUGAGGGAAGACGGUCUUCGGAUUGUAAACCUCUGUCUUUGGGGACGAAAAAGGACGGUACCCAAGGAGGAAGCUCCGGCUAACUACGUGCCAGCAGCCGCGGUAAUACGUAGGUGGCAAGCGUUGUCCGGAUUUACUGGGUGUAAAGGGCGUGCAGCCGGAGAGACAAGUCAGAUGUGAAAUCCACGGGCUCAACCCGUGAACUGCAUUUGAAACUGUUUCCCUUGAGUGUCGGAGAGGUCAUCGGAAUUCCUUGUGUAGCGGUGAAAUGCGUAGAUAUAAGGAAGAACACCAGUGGCGAAGGCGGAUGACUGGACGAUAACUGACGGUGAGGCGCGAAAGCGUGGGGAGCAAACAGGAUUAGAUACCCCUGUA